rnacentral:rRNA from 1 species
UACGGAGGGUGCGAGCGUUAAUCGGAAUUACUGGGCGUAAAGCGUGCGCAGGCGGUUGUGCAAGACCGAUGUGAAAUCCCCGGGCUUAACCUGGGAAUGGCAUUGGUGACUGCACGGCUAGAGUGUGUCAGAGGGGGGGUAGAAUUCCACGUGUAGCAGUGAAAUGCGUAGAGAUGUGGAGGAAUACCGAUGGCGAAGGCAGCCCCCUGGGAUAACGACUGACGCUCAUGCACGAAAGCGUGGGGAGCAAACAGG